rnacentral:rRNA from 1 species
UGAGUAAUCUGCCCUUAACUCUGGGAUAAGCCUGGGAAACUGGGUCUAAUACCGGAAAUGACUCCUCAUCGCAUGGUGGGGGGUGGAAAGCUUUAUUGUGGUUUUGGAUGGACUCGCGGCCUAUCAGCUUGUUGGUGAGGUAAUGGCUCACCAAGGCGACGACGGGUAGCCGGCCUGAGAGGGUGACCGGCCACACUGGGACUGAGACACGGCCCAGACUCCGUACGGGAGGCAG